GGGGAUCGAGGAGCAGGAGCAGGAGCAGGAGGAGCAGGAGGAAGAAAAGGAAAGAGUGCGGAGGAAAACUCCCCGAUCACCGCCGCGUAUCUGUCGGCGCUGCGAGGGGAACUGCUGGCGCUGCGAGUGAGGGAUCGCCACCGCCUCAGCGGCGCCCAGCCCCGGCGCAGCAGCGCGGAAGAGGAGGCGAAGGAGAAGGUUGUGGUGGCCGCCGCCACGUCGGUCAGUCCUCAGAGAGAGAAGCGUCGCCGUAACCAAGCGAAGAGGCAGGAGCCGGGGCAGGCAGCGGGACCGGAGUCGCGGCGGAAUGGGCGGAGCCGAAGGACGGGCGGAGCUGAGGGACCGCCGGAAGCUGAGGGACCGCCGGAGCCGCCGAUCGCCGGGAGAAGGACGUUGCACCUGAGGGUAGAGCUGGAGCCUCGCAAAUGGUCGGACUUCGUUUGCAGUCUUUGGUUCCCGCGAACUUCUGUUCCCGUCCCUCAGCUCCGCCCGCCCCCCGUCGGUCCCACUAUUUGCCCCGGCUCCUCCCUCGUCGCUUGGUUACGGCGUCGCUUCCGUCCCUGGGGACCGACCGACAUGGCGGCGGCCACCACAGCCUUCUCCUUUUCCUUCGCCUCCUCCUCCUCCUCGGCGUUGCUGCGCCCGGGCUUGGCGCCGCUGAGGCGUUGGCGAGCCCCUCACCGGCCCGGCGCCGCGGGCCGCCUGCAGCGCCAGCAGCUCCCCCUGCAGUGCCGACAGGUACGCGGCGCCCAUCGGGGCGUUUUCUUCUCGUUCCUUCCUCCUCCUCCUCGGUCCCCUCACGCCGCGGCGGGCAGCGCGCGCCGCGCUGGGCGGACGGAAAGGGCGGAAAGGCCUGAGGGGGCAGCGGGCUCGGCUCCCCCCAGGGCCGGCCUCGGCGGUGGAUGCCCUCGGAUCCCCGAUGAGUUCCGCUGUUCUUCCCGGGAUAACGGAGGUGUCUUCCCAGACCACUGCAUAUCCUGCUUCUGUUCUGUGCUGCUGGUAACUGUUUUUUCCAGUUGUGCAAAAGGGAGAUGUUCCUGCCCUAAUGAUUUUCCAGAGGUGUUUGUGUGGUAUGUAUGGGACGUGGAGAAUCCUGUUGUGAUGCUCCAUAUGAUCUUGGGCUUUUAG
rnacentral:lncRNA from 1 species